GGAGCUUCUAGAGGAGGUCCAGAGCGUGUCAUGUUGGAAUUUGAUGGUCGUAACUAUUUUUUAGCUGAUUUAUACUAUUGUAGAUUACGAAAAAAUAUUAAAAGACUACUCUACAACUUACAAAUCUGCAUCAUAUUAAACCGCUUUAUGAAAUUCCAUUUUAACAGUUUUACUUGUACCAUACAUGAUACAUAAUAUCUCUUGUAAACGAUUUCUAUUAGUCUGGUAUAAUUGAUGAUAAAUCAUAUUUUUUGGAACUCUUAGUAAAACUACUAGACUAACAAAAGAUUUCCACUAUUCUAACUAUUUAAAUAAUAAAAAAAAUUGCUGUA
rnacentral:lncRNA from 1 species